rnacentral:rRNA from 1 species
UACAGAGGGUGCAAACGUUGCUCGGAAUCAUUGGGCGUAAAGCGCGCGUAGGCGGCCCGGUAAGUCCGUUGUGAAAGUCAAAGGCUCAACCUUUGAACGCCGAUGGAUACUGCCGGGCUAGAGUCCGGAAGAGGCGAGUGGAAUUCCUGGUGUAGCGGUGGAAUGCGCAGAUAUCAGGAGGAACACCAAUAGCGAAGGCAGCUCGCUGGGACGGUACUGACGCUGAGACGCGAAAGCGUGGGGAGCAAACAGG